AUCGCUUCUCAGCCUUUUGGCUAAGAUUGAGUGUAAGUACCUG
rnacentral:snRNA from 1 species